GCCAUUUGUAUAAAUUAUCAUUUUCAUAACUAAACAAAAAAGUCACUGAAUUUUACAUUAUAUUCUCUUAAUGGCACUGGAGAAACAAUAUGCAUGAAUUCAAACUUUAUAAUAGCUGUAAAACCACUGCUACUUUUAUUGUAGCUUUUACAGUUUGCAAUAAAAGUCUUUGGUGAUUGUGCAGUUCAUGGUAAAUUAAUUUCUUGCUUUUUUAGUUCAUUGUAUAUUUUGAGGCUAUAAAAUGAAUAUUUACAGCUAUGCUUUUCUAAUUCCUGCAGCCAUUUUUGUACAUAGGUUGAGUUAAUUAUCACAUCUUCACCUUGUUGUUUUGCUUGUCCUUGAAAGUCGUGGACUUCAUCUUGCAUGUUCCAGGUCAUUUGUAAAGUUCCUGCUGAGUUCAGUGGGAGGGUCUAAAAACAUUCCUAAAUCUUCUUUCAUCACAGACUUUUACUUCUGCUGCUGCAACAACAGAAAUACAAAGAUCAGAAAAACUGUACCGUUCCUGUUACGUGACUGCUCUCUCUACUGCAUGUAGUGUGCAUGGGGCAGAGCUGUGUCUGCACGCAGCCGUGAUACUGAAAGAAUCGAGAGAUGGCACCAAUGCACACCCAUCUAGAGCAAUCCUCCUGAGGGGCCUCACUGCCUACCUGAUCGUGUGCUCAAGGUAUUUUCAAGAUGUGAAAGAGAGAAAUCACAGGCUGUGACAUAUUUGCUUAUGUCUGAAAGCAUUUUAGAAGAUCCUGAUAUUAGUCUGGGAACAAGCUUUUUGAUGCUGAAAUGCAAAGACUAUUUUUCACAAGAAGGACUGCAUGAGAAGCCAAAACACUGCCAACCAAUUUCUGCUGAAGUCUCCUGUUACUACCCGGAGAUGUGUUUGUUCCCACCGCUUUGCAUCCAGAUACCAUGGGCUGAGCUCCACGCUGCACCUGGAGAGGAGUCUUCGCAAUUCAGCAGAACUGGAACAUGCUGCUUGAAUUUCCUAGCAGACAAUGGGGACGUCUGUGGGGCUCGCCAGCCCUGCCUCCCCCCAGCACAGGCUGGGGACCCAGCGGGUGGCAGCUUCCAGGAGUGCUCGCCUCCCUGCCCGGCACAGCGCGGAACCAGAGCAAACGUCCCUGAAAUCACAGCCCUGACUGUGCCGAGCGCUGGAAGCAUUCCCUCACAGGGAGGGUUUGAAAGACAGUCCGCGUAUUUACCUUGUCCCCUCCUUACGCUGCAGAGCGUUUGGUGAUGGUGAACACAGGUGACAGAGGCGUAGAAGUGCGUGCGAGCUGUUAGAAAUGUCUGCGGACUGAAAACCAUUACUUAUCUCCUCACAGCGUCUCCCUCCUCCUCGUUUUCUGUGCCUUGCAGAGUUUAUUUUUGUCGUCUUUGUGGAAAGCAGAGAUCACUAGCAGUGUCUCUGUAAAACCCAAGCAUGAAAGCAGUUUGGAAAACAUUUAUUACUUAAGUUACAACAUAUUCCUACAAGUAUUUUUUAAUUGUUCAUUUAGGAUAGAAGUAAAAGAAAUGGAAUAAGAGGAGAGAAACAUAUUUAGAAUUGCGUUCACAUCAAGGAAUGUGUGGAGCUGUAGAAAGUUGUUGUAUGUGUGGUGCCAGAAAUAACCAUUAAAAAUGAAGAAGUGAACAGGCCACCUUUUCCCACGCUGACCUUAUUUUAGUUUUCACAUGAGUAUGAAUUGUAGUGGCAUUUGUGCCUUUGAAUGUCAGGGAAGAGCAGCCCCUCGGUCGGCCGGCUGCUGCCCCUUUCCUUCCUUCCUCCACGUGCACUGCCUACAGAUCCAUGCAGCCAGUGGUUGUUGGGACAUCCCUCUGUGUGAAAAGCUCUUCCCAGCGGUCUUCUGUAAUAGCACAAAGCUAAAAAGCAAAUGCAGUGUGCUGCCUGACAGAGGUAGGUGUGACCUGUAAGAAGCAACUGGCCUGCAGGGCAUUUUUCCUUUCUUUACUUCUGGCUGGUAAGUCAUUAGCCUUACCCUGGGACAACAAGGUAGGAGUUUGCUGCUUCAUUUAGCUGUGUCUGACCUGGGCAGAAGUCAUGUCUGACUGACUGGGACACAGGAAGAAAGGAAGACGUGCGUCUGUCCGCUGCUAUGCCCC
rnacentral:lncRNA from 1 species